GAUGAACGCUGGCGGCAUGCCUAUACAUGCAAGUCGAACGAGAGGAAGGAAAGCUUGCUUUUCUGAAUCUAGUGGCGAACGGGUGAGUAACACGUAGGUAACCUGCCCAUGUGCCCGGGAUAACUUCUGGAAACGGAUGCUAAAACCGGAUAGGUAGCAGACAAGCAUUUGACUGCUAUUAAAGUGGCUAAGGCCAUGGACAUGGAGGGACCUGCGGUGCAUUAGCUAGUUGGUGAGGUAACGGCCCACCAAGGCGACGAUGCAUAGCCGGCCUGAGAGGGCGGACGGCCACAUUGGGACUGAGACACGGCCCAAACUCCUACGGGAGGCAGCAGUAGGGAAUUUUCGUCAAUGGGGGGAACCCUGAACGAGCAAUGCCGCGUGAGUGAGGAAGGUCUUCGGAUCGUAAAGCUCUGUUGUAAGAGAAAAACGACAUUCAUAGGGAAUGAUGAGUGAGUGAUGGUAUCUACCAGAAAGUCACGGCUAACUACGUGCCAGCCGCCGCGGUAA
rnacentral:rRNA from 1 species